CUCUUUGUACAUUGGCAGUAUUGUAGUCAAUGAAGUUUCUCCAAGAUGUGAUUAUUGCUAACUGAAAAUGAGUAUUUAUUCAUUUUUUUGUUGGCUUAGUUAAUCAAGAAAAGUCACUACCACAGAUCACCAAGGAU